rnacentral:misc_RNA from 1 species
GAACGCAUCCUACAAUCAGACUCGAGAAGCCAACAGCGGAAUCGCCACGCACUCCAUCCAAAGGUGCGCCAACGCGUACGCGCACAACGGCGCAUCUUCCGAAAACCUCCGAGGAGGCAAAUGAGGCGGAACGAAAAGGAUUCAUUGCACAGACUACAGGGAACGGCUGCAGCCGCACAUAUGCUUGUCUCUCUCUUUGUCUGGAUGCAUUUUCUGUCUCGCUCUUAGAGCACGUCUAACGGGCUCCCCCUCAUCACCUCCCUCGGCACGAUCUGAUCCGAAUGACGGCACCGCCAUCCAUCACUGCGACGCUGGACAUGCAUCGGCACAUUUCUGGUGUUUAACGACAACGUCUCUGCCGAAAUCAGAAAGAUCAUGGACAAACUUCUGGAUGAGCGCUACAUUCCCUUCAUCUGCGCGACAUGACGACACCACGCUGGCGUGCGCGUGCACGACCCAUAGGGAGGCACUAUCCUGGCGCGGGGCAUGCGCCCCGAUCAUCACACGCAAGGUGACAUAUGCUGCGCUGGACUGGGAAGAUUUCACCACAUGCAUCCACCAAGAAGACUACUCGUCCGUAAACCGCAAAGCGGAGGGCGCCGACGUUCGCUACCAAGACAGCAACGACGUCUUCUGCCCCCACUCCCUCCCCGGCUGCGUCAUGAAAAACGCGCGGGCCACUCCCCUGCGUGCUGCCUCCCCCGGCAAGGAUAGGAACUUGCAGAUGAUCUGGCGGAAGGCAAACGACGGUGUGGCAAAGAAGCUCGUGGAGGUAUUUCAGCUGGGGUACUCGCUGGCAGGCGAUGGAGAGAGGCGAGGGGGGCAGAUCUGCAUUGAGAGAUGUACUGGACGGAGUGGCUAUUCCGCACUUGUGCUGCGCUGUCGCCCAGUUGUGUGCGAAGGCGCUACGCCUCGGCACCGUUUUGCUCUCCCACGCACUUCUCUCCGCCUCUGCACUUUCGCCGUUCCCCAGGCGCCCGACAGAGCAGCGCUUUUUUUUUUUUGCUCUGUUUCUCCGUCGGUGGCGCAUGUGCGUGCGUGUGAGACGGCAAACGCACUGCAGCGACGGAGCCGCGUAUGAACACCGCGAACAACAAAAUUGGGCAAAAGGAAAGCGCGCACGUUGCUCGACAGCAUCCCUCCAUCCCGUUGCCCUCCUCCUCCCCUGUCGCUCUCUCUCUCUCCACAG